rnacentral:rRNA from 1 species
GACGAACGCUGGCGGCGUGCUUAACACAUGCAAGUCGAACGAAAAGAGGGAAAGAGCUUGCUCUUUCCGGAAUUGAGUGGCAAACGGGUGAGUAACACGUAAACAACCUGCCUUCAGGUUGGGGACAACAGACGGAAACGACUGCUAAUACCGAAUAAGUUCCAAGGGCCGCAUGGCCCAUGGAAGAAAAGGUGGCCUCUACCUGUAAGCUAUCGCCUGAAGAGGGGUUUGCGUCUGAUUAGCUGGUUGGAGGGGUAACGGCCCACCAAGGCGACGAUCAGUAGCCGGUCUGAGAGGAUGAACGGCCACACUGGAAUUGAGACACGGUCCAGACUCCUACGGGAGGCAGCAGUGGGGAAUCUUCCGCAAUGGGCGAAAGCCUGACGGAGCAACGCCGCGUGAGUGAUGACGGCCUUCGGGUUGUAAAACUCUGUGAUCCGGGACGAAAAGGCAGAGUGCGAAGAACAAACUGCAUUGACGGUACCGGAAAAGCAAGCCACGGCUAACUACGUG